rnacentral:lncRNA from 1 species
CUUGACUCCUCCUGUCCAGGGCUGGGAGUGGAGAGUCAGAAAUGGGGACCUGGUCAGGGCAAGGGGGCAGAUGCUCGGCUCACGUCGUACCUGGUAAUUUAGAAAUGCAGCAAGUCUAGUCAUGUAGAUCUCUGGCUUUCUCUCUCGUUGCUUAUUCUUUUAUUAUUAUUAAAUGAAUGUUAAUGUGGAAACGCCGUGUGCACGUGGGCAGAGCCAACCGUUCAUGAGCAGUGUGCUUGUCGCCCCCUGCCGGCCGGCUGCUGCCCUGACCUGAAUUAUCCGCAUCUCCGUCAUGGUCCCCCAGAGCCACCAGGAAGAUCAAGGAGCCAGGGCCACCCUCACGUUGCCUAGGCAACAGCAUCCGUGAUCAGACUGUAAGGCAACUGGGACCCAUGCGUGCUCCCCGGGGGAGGCUGCAGGUUCACGUCGGUGUCCGGGUAUCUUACAGAAUGUUCUUAAUCUUCACGUGCUUCUUCUGAGAUCAGUGAUAAAGAAGACACGGAUACAGCAAGAAGGAAGGAGGCCCUGUGCACGACACUAAGAUGAGUGACGCCACAGCACGGACCUUUGCUCAAGAUCCGUCAGCAGGAAAUACCCCCCAAGUGCCGAGAGUGCUGGCAUGCAGCAGAGAAGGCU